rfam:Synechococcus sp. CATP A 1101 synech5_c92, whole genome shotgun sequence.
GGUCAAGCUAUCAAGGGCUUAUGGUGGAUACCUAGGCACACAGAGGCGAAGAAGGACGUGGUUACCUGCGAUAAGCUCCGGGGAGUUGGAAGCAAACAUUGAGCCGGAGAUUUCCGAAUGGGGCAACCCUAUAUACUUUUACCUGAAUACAUAGGGUAGAGAGAGCGAACCCAGCGAAUUGAAACAUCUUAGUAGCUGGAGGAAGAGAAAACAAACGUGAUUCCCCUAGUAGCGGCGAGCGAAGCGGGAAGAGCCUAAACCAGAGUGCAUGCAUUCUGGGGUUGUGGGACAGCGACAUGGAAUCUAGCGACUAGACGAAGCAGCUGAAUACUGUAUCAGAGAAGGUGAAAAUCCUGUAGUCGAAAGUUUAAGGAUACUAGCUGCAUCCCGAGUAGCCUGGAGCACGUGGAAUUCCGGGUGAAUCAGCGAGGACCACCUCGUAAGGCUAAAUACUCCUGUGUGACCGAUAGUGAACCAGUACCGCGAGGGAAAGGUGAAAAGAACCCCGGAAGGGGAGUGAAAUAGAACAUGAAACCAUAAGCCUACAAGCAAUGGGAGACCGAUUUAACGGUUGACCGUGUGCCUGUUGAAGAAUGAGCCGGCGACUUAUAGGCACUGGCAGAUUAAGACGGGAAUGUCGAAGUCAAAGCGAAAGCGAGUCUGAAAAGGGCGUUAGUCAGUGUUUAUAGACCCGAACCCGGGUGAUCUAACCAUGGGCAGGAUGAAGCUUGGGUAACACCAAGUGGAGGUCCGAACCGACCGAUGUUGAAAAAUCGGCGGAUGACCUGUGGUUAGGGGUGAAAUGCCAAUCGAACCCGGAGCUAGCUGGUUCUCCCCGAAAUGUGUUGAGGCGCAGCGGUAGUGAUUAUAGCUGGGGGGUAAAGCACUGUUUCGGUGCGGGCUGCGAGAGCGGUACCAAAUCGAGACAAACUCUGAAUACCCAGUGGACACACUACCAGUGAGACGGUGGGGGAUAAGCUUCAUCGUCAAGAGGGAAACAGCCCAGACCACCAGCUAAGGUCCCCAAAUCAUCAUUCAGUGAUUAAGGAGGUGGGAGUGCAUAGACAACCAGGAGGUUUGCCUAGAAGCAGCCAUCCUUGAAAGAGUGCGUAAUAGCUCACUGGUCAAGCGCUCCUGCGCCGAAAAUGAACGGGGCUAAAUGAUGUACCGAAGCUGUGGGAUAUGUAUGUAUCGGUAGGGGAGCGUUCCAUUGUAGUUAGAAGCAUCAGCGUGAGCAGGUGUGGACGAAGUGGAAGUGAGAAUGUCGGCUUGAGUAGCGCAAACAUUGGUGAGAAUCCAAUGCCCUGAAAUCCCAAGGGUUCCUCCGCAAGGCUCGUCCGACGGAGGUUAGUCAGGACCUAAGGCGAGGCCGAUAGGCGUAGUCGAUGGACAACC